UACGGAGGGGGCUAGCGUUGUUCGGAAUUACUGGGCGUAAAGCGCGCGUAGGCGGCUUUGUAAGUUAGAGGGGAAAGCCCGGAGCUCAACUCCGGAACUGCCUUUAAAACUGCAUCGCUUGAAUCCAGGAGAGGUGAGUGGAAUUCCGAGUGUAGAGGUGAAAUUCGUAGAUAUUCGGAAGAACACCAGUGGCGAAGGCGGCUCACUGGACUGGUAUUGACGCUGAGGUGCGAAAGCGUGGGGAGCAAACAGG
rnacentral:rRNA from 1 species